rnacentral:rRNA from 1 species
GCAACGAGCGCAACCCUUAUUGUUAGUUGCCAUCAUUUAGUUGGGCACUCUAGCGAGACUGCCGGUGACAAACCGGAGGAAGGUGGGGAUGACGUCAAAUCAUCAUGCCCCUUAUGACCUGGGCUACACACGUGCUACAAUGGGAAGUACAACGAGUUGCGAAGUCGCGAGGCUAAGCUAAUCUCUUAAAGCUUCUCUCAGUUCGGAUUGUAGGCUGCAACUCGCCUACAUGAAGCCGGAAUCGCUAGUAAUCGCGGAUCAGCACGCCGCGGUGAAUACGUUCCCGGGCCUUGUACACACCGCCCGUCACACCACGAGAGUUUGUAACACCCGAAGUCGGUGAGGUAACCUUUUUGGAGCCAGCCGCCUAAGGUGGGAUAGAUGAUUGGGGUGAAGUCGUAACAAGGUAGCCGUAUCGGAAGGUGCGGCUGGAUCACCUCCUUUCUAAGGAA